rnacentral:rRNA from 1 species
CAAUAGCGUAUAUUAACGUUGUUGCAGUUAAAAAGCUCGUAGUUGGAUUUCUGGAGGGAGCGUCGGCCCGUAUUUACGAGUGCGUGACGUCUCUGUCCAUCCUUGCGGGAAGGCACGGCAUUGAUUUGUUGUGUCGGAUCGCAUCAUUUACUGUGAAAAAAUUAGAGUGUUCAAAGCAGGCUUUCGCUUGAAUACAUUAGCAUGGAAUAGUAAGAUAGGACUUUGGUGCUAUUUUGUUGGUUGAGCCUAAAGUAAUGAUUAAUAGGGAUAGUUGGGGGCACCUGUAUUGCGUUGUCAGAGGUGAAAUUCUUGGAUUUACGCAAGACAAACAGCUGCGAANGNGUCUGCNAAGGAUGUUUNCAUUA